GGACCGCUCCAGUUUUCUAGUGGUUAGAGCAUCCACCUCAGAUGUGGGAGGUCAUGGGUUCGAUCCCCAGUCGAAUCA